CACCAGACUCCUACGGGAGGCAGCAGUGGGGAAUAUUGCACAAUGGGGGAAACCCUGAUGCAGCAACGCCGCGUGAGUGAAGAAGUAUUUCGGUAUGUAAAGCUCUAUCAGCAGGGAAGAAAAUGACAGUACCUGACUAAGAAGCCCCGGCUAACUACGUGCCAGCAGCCGCGGUAAUACGUAGGGGGCAAGCGUUAUCCGGAUUUACUGGGUGUAAAGGGAGCGUAGACGGCGAUGCAAGCCAGAUGUGAAAGCCCGGGGCUCAACCCCGGGACUGCAUUUGGAACUGUGUGGCUGGAGUGUCGGAGGGGCAGGCGGAAUUCCUAGUGUAGCGGUGAAAUGCGUAGAUAUUAGGAGGAACACCAGUGGCGAAGGCGGCCUGCUGGACGAUGACUGACGUUGAGGCUCGAAAGCGUGGGGAGCAAACAGGAUUAGAUACCCUUGUA
rnacentral:rRNA from 1 species